rnacentral:rRNA from 1 species
CCUACGGGUGGCAGCAGUGAGGAAUAUUGGUCAAUGGACGAGAGUCUGAACCAGCCAAGCAGCGUGAAGGAUGACUGCCCUAUGGGUUGUAAACUUCUUUUAUAUGGGAAUAAAAUGUUACACGUGUGGGAUUUUGUAUGUACCAUAAGAAUAAGGAUCGGCUAACUCCGUGCCAGCAGCCGCGGUAAUACGGAGGAUCCGAGCGUUAUCCGGAUUUAUUGGGUUUAAAGGGAGCGUAGGUGGAUUGUUAAGUCAGGUGUGAAAGUUUGCGGCUCAACCGUAAAAUUGCAGUUGAAACUGGGAGUCUUGAGUACAGUAGAGGUGGGCGGAAUUCGUGGUGUAGCGGUGAAAUGCUUAGAUAUGUCGAAGAACUCCGAUUGCGAAGGCAGCUCACUGGACUGCAACUGACACUGAGGCUCGAAAGUGUGGGUAUCAAACAGGAUUAGAUACCCGGGUAGUC